rnacentral:rRNA from 1 species
ACGCUCGACACCUACGGGGGGCAGCAGUGGGGAAUAUUGCACAAUGGGGGAAACCCUGAUGCAGCAACGCCGCGUGAAGGAAGACGGUUUUCGGAUUGUAAACUUCUGUUCUUAGUGAAGAUAGUGACGGUAGCUAAGGAGCAAGCCACGGCUAACUACGUGCCAGCAGCCGUGGUAAUCUGAGCGGGCUGGCAAGGC